AAACCAACAGGGAUUGCCUCAGUAACGGCGAGUGAAGCGGCAAAAGUCCACCUUUGAAAUAUUGACGUGGUUGGGAGAGGCAAUGUGCACAAGUCGCCUGGAACGGCCGCCAAAGAGGGUGAUAGCCCCGUAGCACACGCCAAAUCUUCCCAGCCGACAGAGUCGAGUUGUUUGGGAAUGCAGCUCUAAAGGUGGUAGGGUCCAUCAAAGACUAAAUAUCAGCGAGAGACCGAUAGCAAACAAGUACAGUGAUGGAAAGAUGAAAAGAACUUUGAAAAGAGAGUGAAACAGUGCGUGAAAUUGGGGGGAGGGAAGGCAAGGCCACGACAAGUGGUCCUGCGC
rnacentral:rRNA from 1 species